rnacentral:lncRNA from 1 species
GGUGCUCAUAAGGUUUGACUGGAAUCUGUUCACUUUCAGAAAGACAGUAGUAGCUUUCUUAUCGUUAGUGAUAAACCAUCAUAACCCUUCAUUGGUGUCCUUGUAUUUAUGUAGCUCAUAAAUCCUGAUUUAUUUCACAGAAUUAAUCUACAAUAAUUUCUCCUACUUCUAGGACUUAGAGCAUAUAUAAAACUGAAAAACGAAAUCUAGUACAGUAAAUAUAAAAAAAGAAGAUGUGGUAUGAUUGCCAAUGAGACAACUAUCCACAAAAGACCAAAAUGACACAGACAUUAACAACUAUAGUCACCGUACGCCUUCAACAAUGAGCAAAGCCCAUACCGCAUAGUGAGCUAUAAAAGGCCCCGAUAAGAUAAUGUAAAACAAUUCAAACGAGAAAACUAACGGCCUUAUUUAUGUAAAAAAAAAAAUGAACGAAAAACAAAUAUUUAACACAUUAACAAACGACAACCACUGAAUUACAGGCUCCUGACUUGGGACAGGCACAUACAUAAAUAAUGUGGCGGGGUUAAACAUGUUAGCGGGAUCCCAACCCUCCCCCUAACCUGGGACAGUGGUAUAACAGUACAUCAUAAGAACGAACUAUAAAAAUCAGUUGAAAAAGGC